rnacentral:rRNA from 1 species
AACGAACGCUGGCGGCGUGCUUAACACAUGCAAGUCGAACGCGAAAGGGACUUACGGUCCUGAGUAAAGUAGGCGCACGGGUGAGUAACGCGUAGAUAACCUGUCUUCAUGUCUGGAAUAAUACGCCAAAGGGGUACUAAUACCGGAUAUUCUUGCUUUUCAUAAGUUAUGCAAGCAAAGGUGGCCUCUGCAUAUGCUACUGCAUGAAGAGGGGUCUGCGUACCAUUAGCUAGUAGGUGGGGUAAUGGCCUACCUAGGCGACGAUGGUUAGCGGGUCUGAGAGGAUGAUCCGCCACACUGGCACUGGAACACGGGCCAGACUCCUACGGGAGGCAGCAGUGAGGAAUAUUGCGCAAUGGGGGAAACCCUGACGCAGCGACGCCGCGUGAGUGAGGAAGGCCUUCGGGUCGUAAAGCUCUGUCAAGAGGAAAGAAGUGUACAAUGGCUAAUACCUGUUGUAUUUGACGGUACCUCUAAAGGAAGCACCGGCUAACUCCGUGCCAGCAGCCGC